rnacentral:lncRNA from 1 species
GUGUGCCACCGUCCCCGUGUGCCACCGUCCCCACCGGCCGCGCUGUCCUUGUCCCUCCGCCCUGCCCAGUUCCCCCCCCAAGUCCCGCUUUGCAUCCCAGCCCAGGCUGGACGUGGCCAUAAGGAACCCACGGGACUUUGGCCACAUCCCUGUCCCUCCCUGUGGAAUGGUGAUUCCAGAGGGUCGCGCUGCCCACGAUCCAGCCGGGCUCUUGUUUUGCUCCAGCGAGGAUGUACCAGCAAGGCACAGAAAUCCUGCAAAGUGCUGGAAGUUUUUCGGUGCCGGGCUCAGCUUGGCUUUUCUCCUUCCUCCCCGGUGUGUGUGUGUGUGUGUGUGUGUUUUUCUUUCCCCCUCGAGUCGAUGGAAGCUGGUGAUAAGAGGGAGAUGGGAGGAUAGGGAAGGCUGGCCACCAUGUGAUAAUCUACCUUUAUCUUUCUCCUGAAAUAAUUGCAAGGCUGAGUUGCACCUACCUGUUUCCCUGCCUGGGGUGAUUGCUGUGGUGAUAACGCUCAGCUAGACUUUUACCCGGGGAGAGUUAAAAAUAGUCCCAGCUGCCUCUCUCUUAUUUUUUUUUUUUUUUUCGGGAUACUUUUCUCCUUUGGCUUUAUCCAACUUCCGCGGCUUUAUUUCGGCAAAAAAAAGCCCUGCGAGCGGUGCCUGGGUAACUCCAGCUCGUUCAUCCGGGAGCGGAGCGGUAGCGCUGGAAUGACGGAACCUCGCUGCCGCUGGGAUGCCCGAUCCCAGCACCCACCAGAAUGGACUUUUCGGGCCAAACUGGGGCAAACUGGGGCAGGACGAGGCCGUGGCAGCUCGGCCGGGCGGCGGCGGCUCCUCGUAUCUCCUUCCUCUGCUGCUUUUCUGCAGAGAUGUGAAGAAACGAUAAAAGUGGGAGGCUGAUCUCAGGCCGCCGGCGAUGGCCAAAACUGAUUAAAAGCUGAGAGCUUGGAAGCCUUCCUGUAUGUGUCAACAUGAAAACAGUCAUUAGAGGUGGCGAGAGCGCCCUGCCGCUGCUCCAUCAGGGAAGGAAGGUUCCCUGGCAGCGAUGGAGGAAGGCGAGGAUGCCCCGGUGGGGGACAGGAGCCCCUCGGAGAGGGACGAGGCCACCUCGGACUGCGAGGGCUCCGCCGAGCGCGACACCUCCAGCCCCCCCGGCAGUGAAGGUGAGCCCUGGGGCUGUCCCCGCUGUCCCCUCCCCACCAGAGCAGCCUGCAGGGCGCUGUCUCUGCUCGAGGGGAAGGGUGUUCAUUAGCUAAGGAAGCAGCCUGGCCACCCCUCGGUGGGUCAGUGACACCCCCGUGUCCCUGGGGGGUUCCACCCCUCUGGUCGGUGGCAGGACACCCUGGGGACAGCCCAGAUUGCAGACUCGUGUCCCUUGGGGUAUGGAG